UUUGAUGGCCUCAUAUUCUCCGCGUUCCGAAAAUAUGCGACUUCUUUAUUCUUCUAGUUGGAUCGGGCAAAACUGUCUUUGCGGUGGUGAAUAGCAUUCCCCGUCGUCCCCCCACCACCGAUAUGUUGACGGCGAAGGUUUGUCCUUCUGGUGUCCAAGGGUUCGAUCUUGUGGGUUUGAAUUCGGUAAGGGCCUAACUAUAUUUCUUUCUCCUUCAUUGUUGUGGGUUUAUGGGUUUCAUUUUCGACCGAUGCCUUCUCCAUCCUAUAAUUCGACGAAAAUUAUUCUUUCGGUGGUGAAUAUCGUUCCCGUCGUUCCCUACCGUUGAUAUGUUGAUGGCGAAGGUUUGUCCUUCUGGUGCACUAGGGUUUAAUCUCGCGGGUUUUAUCUUGGUAAGGGUAACUAUCUUUCGUUCUCCUACAUUCUUGUGGGUUUUGGGUUUCAUUAUUGUCCGAUGCCUUCUCCAUCCUUUAAUUCGACGAAAAUGAUUCUUCCGAUGGAUAAGCUUUUUGUACUGCUUGGAAUUAUGAAAAUUUGAAUCUUUUUCUGCCCAGAAAAGAACAUAGCGCCCUAAAGAGGGGUUUUCCAUAUCCUUUUAGGGUUUAGGGUUUGGUAUACCGUAUAUGAUAUGAUACGGGUUUGGUACAGCGUAUAUGAUAUGAUAUGAUACGGGUUUCAAAAUUCUGCACCCACAAGUCAUUGUGGCGAUAAUUGUGAAAGUAUGUCAAAAUGGGAUAUGUAGGUUAAAAUCUUGAAACAAUGAGCACUUAUGCAAUCUCUAUUACAGAACUGUGCUAAAGCAUGGUAAUUUUGUCUGCCUUUUUUUCCCAAUGACGUAAAAUAGGAAUGUUGAGAUACACAUUUCAUUUGGGGUGGUAUAAAUAAUUUUUCGUUGAAGAAAACCUCUGUUAUCUAUGUUCAGUUGGUCUUUAUGUCUUCAGAACCGUCCCUGAUCUUAUAAGCUAUCAAUUGGUUACAUAUUCUAAUCAAGCUUGCAUUCAUAUUAGGUCCUAGAAAGGGAACAUGCCUAGCUUGAUUUGCCUUUCUGCCUAUUCAUCUUGCUUAGUUUUGAAACUUUACAGUUUAAGGUCCUAAAAGCCUUUCUGCCUUUGUUGGAACAGUCCCUGAUCUUACAAGCAAUCAAUUGGUUAGAUUUCGAUUAAGCAUGCAUUUAUAUUAGGUCCUAGAAAGGGAGCAUGCCUAACUUGAUUUGCCUUUCUGCCUAUUCAUGUUGCUACAGUUCUAGAUCUUGACAGUUGAAGGUCCUAAAAGGGACUUUCAAUUGUCAUUUUGCCCUUCCACCUUUGUAGGAAUCGUCCCUAAUUUUAUUAGCUAUCAUUACUUAUAUUUCGAUUUUGCUUGCAUUCAUAUUAGGUCCUAGAAAGGAAAACAUGCCUAGCUUGAAUUGCCUUUUUGCUUGUUCAUGUUGCUGGAGUUUUGGAACUUGACAUUAGAAGGUCCUAGAAGGGACUUUUCAUAGUCAUUGAGACCUUCCUCUUUUGUCGGAAUCGUCCCUGAUAUUAUAAGUGAUCAAUUGGUUACGUAUUACGAUUAAGCUUGCAUUCAUAUUAGGUCCUAGAAAGGAAAACAUGCCUAGCUUGAAUUGCCUUUUUGCUUGUUCAUGUUGCUGGAGUUUUGGAACUUGACAUUAGAAGGUCCUAGAAGGGACUUUUCAUAGUCAUUGAGACCUUCCUCUUUUGUCGGAAUCGUCCCUGAUAUUAUAAGUGAUCAAUUGGUUACGUAUUACGAUUAAGCUUGCAUUCAUAUUAGGUCCUAGAAAGGAAAACAUGCCUAGCUUGAAUUGCCUUUUUGCUUGUUCAUGUUGCUGGAGUUUUGGAACUUGACAUUAGAAGGUCCUAGAAGGGACUUUUCAUAGUCAUUGAGACCUUCCUCUUUUGUCGGAAUCGUCCCUGAUAUUAUAAGUGAUCAAUUGGUUACGUAUUACGAUUAAGCUUGCAUUCAUAUUAGGUCCUAGAAAGGAAAACAUGCCUAGCUUGAAUUGCCUUUUUGCUUGUUCAUGUUGCUGGAGUUUUGGAACUUGACAUUA
rnacentral:lncRNA from 1 species